CGUAGGGUGCGAGCGUUAAUCGGAAUUACUGGGCGUAAAGCGUGCGCAGGCGGUUUUGUAAGACAGGCGUGAAAUCCCCGGGCUCAACCUGGGAACUGCGCUUGUGACUGCAAGGCUAGAGUACGGCAGAGGGGGGUGGAAUUCCACGUGUAGCAGUGAAAUGCGUAGAUAUCAGGAGGAAUACCGAUGGCGAAGGCAGGUCUCUGGGCUGACACUGACGCUCAUGCACGAAAGCGUGGGGAGCAAACAGGAUUAGAUACCCUGGUAGUCCACGCCCUAAACGAUGUCGACUGGUUGUUGGGGGUUUGACACUCUCAGUAACGAAGCUAACGCGUGAAGUCGACCGCCUGGGGAGUACGGCCGCAAGGUUA
rnacentral:rRNA from 1 species